rnacentral:rRNA from 1 species
UACGUAGGCAGCAAGCGUUGUUCGGAGUUACUGGGCGUAAAGGGUGUGUAGGCGGCUUCGUAAGUUCGGUGUGAAAUCUCCUGGCUUAACUGGGAGGGUGCGCCGAAAACUGCGGAGCUGGAGCGCAGGAGAGGAAAGCAGAAUUCCUGGUGUAGCGGUGAAAUUCGUAGAUAUCGGGAGGAACACCAGAGGCGAAGGCGGCCACCUGGACGAGCACUGACGCUGAGAAGCGAAAGCGUGGGGAGCAAACAGG